ACCUCCCAAUAUCAGAAACUUGAGUAACAAUCCCCUCUUUGUGAAUGGAGCAGCAAAUGUCUCGAAGAACUUGCUCUGCAAAUUCAUAUCAAUGGAAGAGCUAUGUAGUUUGAAUGCACUUGUAGAGGAGGGACGAACCUGAAGAGGGUUGUAGGGUGAAGGUGCAUCUGAGCCAUACAAGUCCCACUGCCCUGUAGUGUUGCCCAGAUCCUCCAAAUCAAAG